AAUUAAUUCUUCUUGUAAUUGAACCCAGAGAAAAGCCCACUUGGGCACAAAAUGAAAGCAGUUGCAAAAUUAGCUGUCUAUCAGCUAACUGCUAAGUUAAGCAUAUUGAAUCAACAGCCAAAGAAAAUACUAAAGAAAAAAUGCUAAAGAACAACUGCUAAAGAACUGACAUUAAUACCAGUUUAUUGUGAAAGUAAUAUCAAGUUCCAAUCCGACAAUUCCAAAAAGUCCCACCUUUACCAAUGAGAGAGCCACACUGUGAUGUCUGAAUCACAAGUCGGAAUGUCACCUGAGGAACAUCGCUGUCCUCGUCGCUGCCUCUGUCUUCUCUGUCUUCCUCAUCAGCCAUGUCCUGCGUGCGGGAGGAACAGAUCCCAUCCUGUAAAAGAAUUAAUAUGGACACUGAAAGACAGUUGCUCUCAAGAGACUGCAUGUGAGUCGUGGGAUGACUUGGAUCUAAUCAUGGAAAUGAAUUCACUGGAGCCUCCUAAACCUCAUGCACAAACAGUUCACAAACAGUUCACACAAAAUCAACUCACUGGAGCCCCAUGCAGAAUCGGUCAGUCAAACAGUUCACACAGAAAUCAAUUCACUGUGGAGCCCACUCUAUGCAGCCUGGCUAUUAAAAGGCAAUGGCCAUUUUGUAUAAACCUCAAAUCUCAUUAUGGAAGGCUAUGUUGACUGAGGUGUGGCAGAACUACAAAUGAGAGUCAAUUAACAAUCCCAACUAAUGGGUUUAAAGCUGCUGUAGACAAAUCAGUGCUGAAACAGCUAAGUGGAAAUCAGUGCUGAAACAGCUAAGUGGAAAUUCCUAUGACAAGAUAUAAUUAUAUAAGAGUUCAGAUUGGAGAUUGGUCCAUACCAAUUUGUAACAUAUCUUCAAUCUUCGAUCAAGCAAGAGACAAACUCUAUACUGACACAAACUGCACUCACCUUUCCAA